GGCUUGAUAGCUCAGUUGGUAAGAGGCUAAGAGCAUUGCACCGGCAUCAUAAGGUUACGGGUUCGAAUCCCGUUCAAUCCU